CGGGCGGGGAUUAGUGGCGAACGGGUGAGUAACACGUGGGCAAUCUGCCCUGCACUCUGGGACAAGCCCUGGAAACGGGGUCUAAUACCGGAUAUGACCGUCUGCCGCAUGGUGGAUGGUGUAAAGCUCCGGCGGUGCAGGAUGAGCCCGCGGCCUAUCAGCUUGUUGGUGAGGUAGUGGCUCACCAAGGCGACGACGGGUAGCCGGCCUGAGAGGGCGACCGGCCACACUGGGACUGAGACACGGCCCAGACUCCUACGGGAGGCAGCAGUGGGGAAUAUUGCACAAUGGGCGAAAGCCUGAUGCAGCGACGCCGCGUGAGGGAUGACGGCCUUCGGGUUGUAAACCUCUUUCAGCAGGGAAGAAGCGAAAGUGACGGUACCUGCAGAAGAAGCGCCGGCUAACUACGUGCCAGCAGCCGCGGUAAUACGUAGGGCGCAAGCGUUGUCCGGAAUUAUUGGGCGUAAAGAGCUCGUAGGCGGCUUGUCACGUCGGUUGUGAAAGCCCGGGGCUUAACCCCGGGUCUGCAGUCGAUACGGGCAGGCUAGAGUUCGGUAGGGGAGAUCGGAAUUCCUGGUGUAGCGGUGAAAUGCGCAGAUAUCAGGAGGAACACCGGUGGCGAAGGCGGAUCUCUGGGCCGAUACUGACGCUGAGGAGCGAAAGCGUGGGGAGCGAACAGGAUUAGAUACCCUGGUAGUCCACGCCGUAAACGGUGGGCACUAGGUGUGGGCAACAUUCCACGUUGUCCGUGCCGCAGCUAACGCAUUAAGUGCCCCGCCUGGGGAGUACGGCCGCAAGGCUAAAACUCAAAGGAAUUGACGGGG
rnacentral:rRNA from 1 species